rnacentral:rRNA from 1 species
UACGUAGGGUGCGAGCGUUGUCCGGAUUUAUUGGGCGUAAAGAGCUCGUAGGCGGUUUGUCGCGUCGGCCGUGAAAUCUCCACGCUUAACGUGGAGCGUGCGGUCGAUACGGGCAGGCUUGAGUUCGGUAGGGGAGACUGGAAUUCCUGGUGUAGCGGUGAAAUGCGCAGAUAUCAGGAGGAACACCGGUGGCGAAGGCGGGUCUCUGGGACGAUACUGACGCUGAGGAGCGAAAGCGUGGGGAGCGAACAGG